CGGUAAUACGAAGGGACCUAGCGUAGUUCGGAAUUACUGGGCUUAAAGAGCACGUAGGUGGUUGAAAAAGUUGGUGGUGAAAUCCCAGAGCUUAACUCUGGAACUGCCAUCGAAACUUUUUAGCUAGAGUAUGAUAGAGGAAAGUAGAAUUUCUAGUGUAGAGGUGAAAUUCGUAGAUAUUAGAAAGAAUACCAAUUGCGAAGGCAGCUUUCUGGAUCAUUACUGACACUGAGGUGCGAAAGCAUGGGUAGCGAAGAGGAUUAGAUACCCUCGUAGUCCAUGCCGUAAACGAUGUGUGCUAGACGUUGGAAAUUUAUUUUCAGUGUCGCAGCGAAAGCGAUAAGCACACCGCCUGGGGAGUACGACCGCAAGGUUAAAACUCAAAUGAAUUGACGGGGACCCGCACAAGCAGUGGAGCAUGUGGUUUAAUUCGAAGAUACGCGCAGAACCUUACCAACACUUGACAUGUUCGUCGCGACUUUAAGAGACUAAAGUCUUCGGUUCGGCCGGACGAAACACAGGUGCUGCAUGGCUGUCGUCAGCUCGCGUCGUGAGAUGUUGGGUUAAGUCCCGCAACGAGCGCAACCCUUACUUUUAGUUGCCACCAUUUAGUUGGGCACUCUGAAAGAACUGCCAGUGAUAAGCUGGAGGAAGGUGGGGAUGACGUCAAGUCCUCAUGGCCCUUACGUGUUGGGCUACACACGUGCUACAAUGGCACUUACAAUAGGAAGCAAAGAGGCGACUCCAAGCAAAUCCUAAAAAAGUGCCUCAGUUCGGAUUGCACUCUGCAACUCGAGUGCAUGAAGCUGGAAUUGCUAGUAAUCGCGGAUCAGCGCGCCGCGGUGAAUACGUUCCCGGG
rnacentral:rRNA from 1 species